AACGGUGAUUGCCACUAGCGAGGUAUAGAGUUCCUACGUGUUAUGAUAUAGUAGGAACUUCAUACCGUGCUCUUGGGUUCGCUGAG
rnacentral:pre_miRNA from 1 species